CAGCCAAGCUAGCAUUCACACAAGUCUUCCUGGGGAUAGCAGCCUCAGUCACCAUGUCUGCGACAUCCUUUGGGCUUGGAGUGAGGAGUCCAACCAAAGUGCUAUAUGCACACCCUCCUGCUGGGAGCAAGAUGGGACCAAGCCCAGCAGGCUCAGCUUUGGCCAAGCAUUGAGCGUGACCCAGUUGAGGGAGCUGCUUUCUCCACAAGCUGGGUACCGCCUGCAGACCCUUGCAACACAGAAGACGGCCCACAGGAGAUAGCUGAU
rnacentral:lncRNA from 1 species